UUUUUGGAGAGUUUGAUCCUGGCUCAGGAUGAACGCUGGCGGCGUGCCUAAUACAUGCAAGUCGAGCGGCAGCAUGCUUCUCACUAUUUUCUUCUCUUCUUUCGAGACAGGAUUAGCAAUUUUAUUUACAAAAUUGCGUCUUCGUAGCGAUGGAAAAACAGAGGAGGGAAAAGUGAGAAGUGAUGGCGAGCGGCGGACGGCAGAGUAACGCGUAGGAACAUACCCCAAACUGAGGGAUAACUGCUCGAAAGAGUAGCUAAUACCGCAUGUGGUCUUCGGAUUAAAGCUUCGGCGGUUUGGGAAUGGCCUGCGUCCGAUUAGCUUGUUGGUGAGGUAAAAGCUCACCAAGGCGACGAU
rnacentral:rRNA from 1 species